CAGGGUUCUCAUAAACUAAUCACCUCUUGCUAGGCCUCACUCCCAACACUGUUGCAUUGGGGUUCAAGUUUCCAACACAUGAAUUGUUGGGGAUACAUUCAAAGCAUAGCAAAUACCCGUCAUACAGGACUAUGGGAGGAGUAAAGAAGGCAGAUCUGUAAAGCAAGCAGCCUCUUCACACAACACCAAGCCUGGGUGUAGUAUGUGCCCAGUUAGGCAAAUUAGUCUUGAAAACCUAGGAGAUAUACCUUUGCUUUGUGCUGGGCACUUGGAACAGAUGGAAAGUCUGCCAGAUCCCCCUUUUUUGUAGGGAGCACACACUUUAUCUAAGGCCUUUUCAGCAUGUGACCUAGCCACCUGCCUGCUUGCAUGCACCCCAAAAGAUAGACAUGUGUGACCUACAGGCAACUUUGCUAUCUGAUUUCCCUGUGGGCAUGGCACACUUUGGUUGCAGAUAACUUGCCCUUGCUUAUUCCUUCUGAACUUUAACAGUAACCCUGAAAGGUAGACACUCUCAUUCUCCCUAUUUUACAAAUGAAGAAACUAAGGAUCAAGUUGGUGAAGGAUUCCCUGUGGGUCACUAGGAGCAGGGCCCUGGUGACACAGAUGGAGAAAGGCAAGGAUCUCCGUUGGCCCUAUGCUCUCCUGAAGUUCACAUGCUGAAGAGGACAUAGGCAGUGGGCAAGGAAACAAGGGACUGUCAAUGGUGACACUGCUGUGGGGCAGCUCAACGGGGACAGAGGCAGGGCUGGGGUGCAGAGGGCGGUCUGCCCGACCUGACCAGGGGAGCAGGGAUUUGUGGAAUUGAGACCUGAAGAGUGAAGAGGAGACAGCCAUAAGCAGAUGGGGUCGCUCCAGGCCAAGGUCCUGAGGGGGCCCAGGCUUGAUGGCACGGAAGCCUGGGUAGUUUGGAGAGGGGCUCGAGGAACCCUGGAAGGUAGCCAGAGGCACACCUCGCUGGACCUGCAGGCCCUGGAAAAGAGUCUGGAUUUGAUUCCAGUGGCAUGGAAAAGCCAUUGGAAAAUUUCCCUCCAGAGGAAAGGCAGCACCAAAUUUAUGAUUUAAAGCCCAAACUGGCUGGCAGGAGCUGCUAGAGGGUCUGUCUCCACAGAGGACCCUGUUGUAUGACCUGCACCAUCCAGCAGGGGUCUGGUCGCUGUAUCAGUGAUGACCAUGAACUAGGCCCUGAGGGGCCUGGAUAUCACACACACAAGCUCCUCAAUACUCCCGGAAACGGCUACCCAUGAACAGAGAGAGACAGCUAGGGGUAGAAAGCAGCGAGUGUGGCAUAGUCAAUGAAACACCAAUUGUCCCUCAAGUGCCACCCCUAAAACCUCUUGUGAGUGUUUGCUCCAGGCCCAUCUGGGUUGGAGGAGAAAGCAACUUCCCCUUGCAGGUUGAGGGCACGCACAGCUUCAGGCCAACCCUUUCUACCUCCACACCCGAUGGCUCCAUAUUGCUGGCGUGGAAUGUGUUGUAUUGACUCACACGGGAAGUGGGGCCCUUUCACCGUGGGCACAGAGUGGCUUGAUGGAGAUGGGUAGGCAGCAAGGACAGGGGUGCCAUCUUAGAGGAUUAUCCCUGUGUCCCCAUGGCUGCCCAUGGCAGGGCUCCCCUUGAAUCCUCACUUGGAAAAAGCCUCUUCCUGAACAGCAAAUGUUUAAAAUGGCCUUGUGACCCCACCGAGCCAGUCAUGGAGCCCUCAGAUGACCUGCCGCAAGACACUUGUCCCAAGCCAGCCACCUCAGUGGGCAGUCAGCAUUCUGGGGACCUUAUCAGAGGACAUGUCCUUCCUUGGCAUCAGGUGAUCCAGCCUCUGGGCAUAUGGGAACUGUGGGGGUUGCAUGUGGCAAGACUGAAGAUUUCCCUCAUCAGUGAUAAAGACAUUGAUAAAAGGCUUUGCCACCCUAGGCUUCAGGGUCAUAUCGCAGAGGGCAGGCAGAAUAGGCUCUGAAAAUGAUGAGAGGAGCCCAGGCCAGAUUGAGAAGAGAGCACCUUCUUGCCAUGCUCGCCCUGUUAGAAAGAAGCUGGAAGCUGACGUAUCUUCACCUCCCAUGCUGUGCUCUACACAUGGAGUAGUAUUUAGAAUAACGAUAAUGAGAAUCAUCUUCACGCUUUGAGUAUGUAUUAAGUGCUUAUUAUGUUAACCAUUUUUCAUAUAUUUUCUCAAUUAGUUCUCCCCUAAAUUUAGAAAUAUUUUGAGAUGACAAGGUUGGAGCUCAGAGAAAUUAAGUGACUUGUCUGAGGUCACACUCACACAGGCUAAGUCUGGACUAUAGCUCAGGUCUUCCUAACUCCAAAAACUAGGCUUGUAACACCUAAACUUAAUUCAGACUAAAGUUGUAAAGUUCCUAUUCCAGAGUGUGAAUUGAUUCAUUCUCAACAAGUCCUUUGGGCAUUGUUGUAACUCAUUAAGCUAAAAUCCCCUUGGGGAAUUUUUACACACAGUGCUGGAACUGGGUCAGCUUGUGUCCCCUUUGGAGUUGAAACCUGGGACCAGAGUGAGCCGAGUUAGGAAGCAGCUCCCCUUGCAGAGUGCUGAAUGCUGCCUCUUCUUGUUUUAUUUUUACUGUUUACAUGUACUAUAAAAGUAGUGCAGGCUUGUUUC
rnacentral:lncRNA from 1 species